rnacentral:rRNA from 1 species
UACGUAGGGGCGCAAGCGUUUGUCCGGAAUUAUUGGGGCGUAAAGAGCUCGUAGGCGGCUUGUCACGUCGGGUGUGAAAGCCCGGGGCUUAACCCCCGGGUCUGCAUUCGAUACGGGGCUAGCUAGAGUGUGGUAGGGGAGAUCGAAUUCCUGGUGUAGCGGUGAAAUGCGCAGAUAUCAGGAGGAACACCGGUGGCGAAGGCGGAUCUCUGGACAGUUCCUGACGCUGAGGCACGAAGGCCAGGGGAGCAAACGGG